rnacentral:lncRNA from 10 species
AAGUUCUAAUCAAACAAUUUUCCUACUCUCCAGGUUAAGAGGCCUUCAUCUGGCCUCUUUAUGGACAUGGGGAUUUCAGAAUUUAUACUGACAAGUAACUUGUGCCCCCCAUGAUUUCUACCAUUGUAUGUUGGAUGUGUAUAGGGAGACUGUAGGCAGAUUCUUAGUUCCGAGGGCUACAAGGAACCACAUUCAGACCUGACAGAGAAUAUCCUUUUAUUCAGAGAUCCUGAACUUAGAGCUGUAUACGGUGAUCAGAUGGGACUUUGACUGUUUCUCUUGGAGAAGAGUGAAUGUCUUCUAUAUGCAGGAAGAGUGAAACAUAUUUGGUGACCAGAGGUAGAGUAUAGCCAAGAAUGCUACUGCUUGGCAAUAUGAGCUAUAGCUUCCGGCCUCCUUUAAAAUUAGGAGUGGUCAAUUGGCUGCAUUCUGGUCAACUGAAUAUAAAUGCAAAAGGUUUAAAGGAAAUGAUUACAGUUGCCACCAUCUCCUUGAUUAUUAAUUAAAGGCUUUUCUUCAAUUAUCAUUGUUCUGCAGAGUUUUCAUGACCUCUGUUGAAUAUCAACUCUGGGAAA